rnacentral:rRNA from 1 species
CGCCUCCCGGCGUUAUGGGAGGUCGCGCCUGCUCAAUGCCCUGUGGGGUGAAUAGCCGCGGUACCCUGACCGUGCUAAGGUAGCGUAAUCAUUAGCCUAUUAAUUGUUGGCCUGUAUGAAUGGCUGGACGCUGGUGAAACUGUCUCUGUUGUGUUUUAUUGAAAUUAACCUUUUGGUGAAAAGGCCAAAAUUUGCUUGAAAGACGAUUAGACCCUGUCGAACUUUAGGCGGACUUUUAACAACUUAACAUAAGUUAAUAGAAAACCUUUGGUUGGGGAAACCGGGGACCAUGAAAAACGUCCGCCCCCCAAGCCGUUUAAGCUUAGGAGAAAGCUGAAAAUGUUGAAUUUAAAAAGCCUUACAAGGCGUCAUUAGCUUAUUUGAUCCAGUAAAUAUUUUUCUGAUCAUGGGAAAAGUUACCGCAGGGAUAACAGCGUAAUCCUCCCAGCGAGACCACAUUAAAGGGAGGGUUUGCGACCUCGAUGUUGGCUUAAGGCACCCAGGAAGUGCAGGAGCUUCCACAGGUUGGUCUGUUCGACCAUUAAAGUCUUACGU